AUGGUGAUUUUGCAGGGGCAGGAAUACGAAAGACAGGCACAGAAGCUGAUAGUGAAUGUAAAGGAUUUGUUUGCGGAAACAGUUGAUAAAGUGGCAAAGUUAGAGCUGAUUGACACCGUAAAAAGUUAGGCCUAGACAGCCAUUUUGAUGUGGAAAUCAAGGAGGCUCUAGACAUCAUAUCAUCCACUAAGAAUAAAAAUCCUAGUCCAAAAGAGGAUCUCUACACUACUGCACUAUGCUUUAGGCUUCUUAGGCAGCAUGGCUAUGAAGUUUCACAAGAUAUGUUUAGAGGCUUCCUGGAUGAAAAAGCCGGUUUGUUCAAGAAAAGCACACGCACAAAUAUCAAAGAAAUGCUUGAACUUUUGGAGGCCUCACACUUGGCUUUAGAAGGUGAAGACCUCAUGGAUGCUGCUAGAGAUUUCUCAACAGAAACUCUCAAAGAUUGCAUUCCUAAUUUAGACUGUGACCUUGCUGAACAAGUGUCCCAUGUUUUUGAGCUUCCGUCACAAAGGAGAUUGCAGUGGUUUGACUUCAAAUGGCACAUCAACGCAUAUGAGAAAGACAGACAUAUGAAUGCUAUGUUACUUGAACUUGCUAAACUUCAUUUCAACAUAGUUCAAGCCACACCUCAAAAAGAGAUGAGGGAAUCAUCCAGGUGGUGGAGGUAUCUGGGCCUCUCAAAGGAAUUGAGUUUCGCUAGAGACGGACUGGCUGAAAGUUUUAUGUGCUUGGUGGGCUUUGCUUCUGAGCCUAAGUACACAUAUCUAAGAAAAUUGCUAACUAAAGUCACUAAUCUGAUAGCGAUAAUUGAUGAUGUUUAUGAUGUUUAUGGCACACUGGAAGAACUAAAGCUGUUCACCAAUGCCGUAAAUAGGUGGGAUGUCAGUGAAACUCAACACCUGCCAGAGUGUUUGAAGAAUUGCUUCCUAGCACUUUACAAUACGGUCAAUGAAAUCGCUAAUGAAAUUCAAAAAGAGAAGGGUUCGAAUCAAUUAUUACCUCAUGCAAAAAAAGUGUGGACAGAUUUUUGUAAGCAAAGUGGUACAACAUGGGCUACACACCAUCCCUUCAAGAAUAUCUAAGCAAUGCAUGGACUUCAUCGGCUGGCGCUAUAUUUUUGGUUCAUCAAUUUUUUUCUAUGGGACAUGAGGUAACAAAGGGAAUGAAAGAUUUUCUGGAGAAAAAUCAAGAAAUUGUGUACAAUAUAUCUAUGAUAAUUCGACUCUGCAAUCAUCUUGUGACUUCUGUGGCUGAGCAAGAGAGAGGCGAUGCUCCUUCAUCAAUUGUAUGUUAUAUGAGAGAAGCGAAUGUUUCAGAGGAAAUAGCCCGGAUACACAUUCAAGGAGUGAUAAAACAAAACUUGGAAGAAAAUAAAUGGGCAAUGCUUUAAUCAAUAUCCGACGCAGCAAUUUGUUAAUAUUGCUACAAAUACUGCGCGUAUGGCACAUAGCCUUUACCAAAAUGGAGAUGGAUUUGGUGUUCAAGACCAAGGCACACGGGAAAAUAUCAUGUUUUUGCUAGUUGAACCUUUCAUGCUUUAUUGA